rnacentral:rRNA from 1 species
GAUGAACGCUGGCGGCGUGCUUAACACAUGCAAGUCGAACGGAAAGGCCCAAGCUUGCUUGGGUACUCGAGUGGCGAACGGGUGAGUAACACGUGGGUGAUCUGCCCUGCACUUCGGGAUAAGCCUGGGAAACUGGGUCUAAUACCGGAUAGGACGAUGGUUUGGAUGCCAUUGUGGAAAGUUUUUUCGGUGUGGGAUGAGCUCGCGGCCUAUCAGCUUGUUGGUGGGGUAAUGGCCUACCAAGGCGUCGACGGGUAGCCGGCCCGAGAGGGUGUACGGCCACAUUGGGACUGAGAUGCGGCCCAGACUCCUACGGGAGGCAGCAGUGGGGAAUAUUGCACAAUGGGCGCAAGCCUGAUGCGGCGACGCCGCGUGGGGGAUGACGGCCUUCGGGUUGUAAACUCCUUUCGCUAGGGACGAAGCGUUUUUGUGACGGUACCUGGAGAAGAAGCACCGGCUAACUACGUG